UACGUAGGUGGCAAGCGUUGUCCGGAUUUAUUGGGUUUAAAGGGUGCGUAGGCGGUUGUAUAAGUCAGUGCUGAAAUAUCCCGGCUUAACCGGGAGGGUGGCAUUGAUACUGUAUGACUUGAGUAAAGUUGAGGUUGGCGGAAUUGACGGUGUAGCGGUGAAAUGCUUAGAUAUCGUCAAGAACACCGAUAGCGAAGGCAGCUAACUAAGCUUUAACUGACGCUGAGGCACGAAAGUGUGGGGAUCAAACAGGAUUAGAAACCCCUGUAGUCC
rnacentral:rRNA from 1 species